rnacentral:rRNA from 1 species
UACGGAGGGUGCAAGCGUUGUUCGGAUUUAUUGGGCGUAAAGCGCGUGUAGGCGGUUUCUUAAGUCUGAUGUGAAAGCCCUGGGCUCAACCCAGGAAGUGCAUUGGAUACUGGGAAACUUGAAUACGGGAGAGGGUAGUGGAAUUCCUAGUGUAGGAGUGAAAUCCGUAGAUAUUAGGAGGAACACCGGUGGCGAAGGCGGCUACCUGGACCGAUAUUGACGCUGAGACGCGAAAGCGUGGGGAGCAAGCAGG